rnacentral:tRNA from 1 species
GCCUCGGUAGCUCAGUUGGAUAGAGCAGCCGCCUUCUAAGCGGCUGGCCGCGAGUUCGAGUCUCGCCCGAGGCG